rnacentral:rRNA from 1 species
GUCGAGCGGUAACAUUUCAAAGCUUGCUUUGAAGAUGACGAGCGGCGGACGGGUGAGUAAUGCUUGGGAAUAUGCCUUAUGGUGGGGGACAACAGUUGGAAACGACUGCUAAUACCGCAUAAUGUCUACGGACCAAAGGGGGGGAUCUUCGGACCUCUCGCCAUUUGAUUAGCCCAAGUGAGAUUAGCUAGUUGGUGAGGUAAUGGCUCACCAAGGCGACGAUCUCUAGCUGGUUUGAGAGGAUGAUCAGCCACACUGGGACUGAGACACGGCCCAGUCUCCUACGGGAGGCAGCAGUGGGGAAUAUUGCACAAUGGGCGCAAGCCUGAUGCAGCCAUGCCGCGUGUGUGAAGAAGGCCUUCGGGUUGUAAAGCACUUUCAGUAAGGAGGAAAGGGAUGUAGUUAAUAGCUGCAUUCUGUGACGUUACUUACAGAAGAAGCACCGGCUAACUUCGUGCCAGCAGCCGCGGUAAUACGAGGGGUGCAAGCGUUAAUCGGAAUUACUGGGCGUAAAGCGUUCGUAGGCGGUUGAUUAAGCAAGAUGUGAAAGCCCAGGGCUCAACCUUGGAACUGCAUUUUGAACUGGUCAACUAGAGUACUGUAGAGGGUGGUGGAAUUUC